GCCCGCUUGGCUCAGUGGUAGAGCGUGUUGCUAGCAUCGUCCCCGAAGAAUUCCUUUAGAACAGCGGCUGGCGGCAAGAUCAUCAGUUCGAAUCUGAUAGCGGGUG